AAGUUCUUAUACUAAUUGGGUUCUACACGGAGAGGAUAUUAGUGUAACUAGGAAUACAAUAGAAAGACCUUCUGAGAGUAACACUGCUCAAGUAGAAAGAGAUCCAACAAUGAAUCUCUUGGAUGAUCUUUUCCCUGAUAUGGAUACAUAUGAAGGAUCUGGAUUGUCACAACAACCUAUGAACACAGAAAUACCAUCAACUUCAAGUCGAAAUCAUGGAAAAGGAGAAGGUUUUGAUGAAUUGCUAAAGGAUUUUAAUCAAGAGUUGUAUAAAGGGUGUACCGGGUUCACGAAGCUAUCAUUUAUGUUGAAGUUGUAUCAUAUCAAAUGUAUGUGUAGGAUCAGCGACAAAAGGAUUUCCAUGGUUCUUGAUUUGCUUAAAGAAGCAUUCACACAUGCUAAGUUGCCAGAUUCAUUCAAUGAGAUGAAGAAAGUUAUCCGUAAGCUAGGUUUGAGCUAUGAAUCGAUUCAUGCAUGUCCAAAUGAUUGCAUGCUAUACUGGGAAGCAGAUAAAGAUAGAGAAACUUGCAAUAUUUGUGAAGCUUCUCGAUGGAAAAUUGAUACUACGGUAGAGAGUACGACGUUGGGAAAAAAGAAAAAGAAAAAACAAGUUCCUGCAAAGGUUCUUCGUUGUUUUCCUCUGAAGCCACGUUUGCAGCGUCUAUAUAUGUCAUUGAAAACGGCUAAAGACAUGAGAUGGCAUGAAAAUGCAGAUGACAAUGAUGGUAAACUUCGACAUCCGAGAGACGGAGCAGCUUGGAAGGCAUUUGAUCAAAAAUAUCCUGACUUCGCAUCUGAUCCAAGAAAUGUUAGACUAGGCUUAGCUACAGAUGGUUUUAAUCCAUUUGGUACAAUGAGUACGAGUUUUAGCAUCUGGCCGGUGAUCUUAUUUCCUUAUAAUUUACCUCCAUGGAUGUCGAUGAAGCUGACUUCGAUGAUCCUUUCUAUGGUUAUUCCAGGGAAGCAAAUGCCUAGUAAUGAUAUUGAUGUGUAUUUACAGCCACUUAUCAAAGAAUUGAAGGAGUUAUGGGAUGAUGGGAUCACGACAGUUGAUGCUUCUACUAAACAAACAUUUAACAUGAGAGCAACCAUCAUGUGGACAAUUAGUGAUUUUCUCGGACUUGGAAAUCUGUCUGGUUCGAAUACAUAUACAUCAUCAGCAUGUCCAAGCUGCAAUUAUGAUUUCAUCGGACAACGUUUACAACACGGGAAGAAGAACUGUUUUAUGGGUCAUCAUUGUUUCCUUCCUUCAGAUCAUGAUUUUCGUCAAAAUAGUGCUAGUUUUGAUGGAAAAAUAGAAAUUUGUUAUCCACUUGUCGUGUUGUCAGGAACUAUGAUUAAGCAUCAACAAGAACAAGUUAAUGUUGUUUUAGGUAAGAAACAUGAUUUAGUUGGGAGAAAAAGAGAUCGAAUAGAUUCAGAAAGAAAUAGUAUGCAACAACGGAGGAAAAAAGUAUAUUUUUUAAGCUGGCUUAUUGGGAGUUUGUUUUGGUACGACACAAUUUGGAUAUAAUGCACAUAGAGAAGAAUGUGUUUGACAAUCUAGUUUACACAUUACUAGAUGACAAAAAAAAAAUAAAAAGAUAAUCUGAAGGCUAGGAAAGAUCUCCGUGAGAUGGGAAUAUGCUCUGAUUUAUGGCCUACUGAAGAUGGGAAGUACAAGGAAGCAUGUUUUACUUUGAAAAAUGAUGGAAAAGAUAUUUUUCUGAGUGUCUUCAAGGAUGCAAAACUUCCAGAUGUUAUGCUUCUAACAUCUCAAGUUGUGUUGAUGUUAAAAGUAGAAAGCUAUCUAGAUUAAAAAGCCAUGACUGUCACGUGAUAAUGAGAGAUUUGCUUUCAAUUGCAGUUCAGAAUUUGUUGCCUGCAAAUGUGACGUCACUUGUUAUUGAGCUUUGUCAUUUUUUUAGAGAUAUAUCAGCAAAGGUUCUAGAUAUUGAUGAGCUUGAUAAAUUACAAGAGCGUAUAGUUGUGACUUUAUGCGCGAUGGAGAUGUUGUUUCCUCUAUCGUUUUUCACCGUGAUGGUACAUUUAAUAGUGCAUCUCACAGAAGAAGUAAAACAUGGUGGGCCACUUUGUUGGAUGUAUCCAAUUGAAAGGACUCUUGGAUAUUUUAAAUCUUAUGUUCGCAAUCGUGCUCAACCAGAGGGUUCUAUAUGUAAGCAAUAUUUGGCUGAUGAGUGUAUAACGUUCUGCUCAAUAUAUCUUGAUGAUAUGGAGACACGAUUUAAUCGUGUCGGUCGCGUUGAUGAUCGACCUGUAGUUAAGAUGAGUGUAAGGCCACACUCAGAACUUGCAAAUAUUUUUCCAAAUAUUGGUAGAUUCGUUGGAGCUGGUCAUGUUUGGACACUAACUUAUAUAGAGAGGCAACAAGCACAUCGACAUGUUCUGAUCAAUUGUCAGCUACUUGAUCAUUUACAAGAGCGAUACAAAAAUGAGCUUGUUAGUAGAAUUUCUGGUCAGAGCAGAAGGAAUCGUGCUAUUGACAUUGACAGAGAAAUACAUCUUAAUUUUGCCAAAUGGAUGAGAGAAAAAGUAGAAGAAAAUGACAUUGAUGGGAUAGAUGAUGAUUUACGAUGCUUAGCUAUUGGUCCAUCAGACAAAGUUGUGAAGUAUACAACUUACAACGUGAAUGACUUCAAAUUUCGGACUAUUGAAAGAGAUGCGGAUCUCAAAACACAAAAUAGUGGUGUUUAUGUGGCUGCCGAGACUAUGAGUUAUGCAAGCUCUCGUGAUCUAAACCCAAUAGCAGGAGAUGUAGUUUACUAUGGGAAGCUAGUUGAAGUUAUGAAGUUAAAUUUCUAUGAGACUUUUAAAGUUGUGUUGUUUAAGUGUAAAUGGGUUGAUUCUCGUACUGAACGAGGAUAUAAAAUAGACGCAUAUGGUCAUCAUAUGGUCAAUUUUUCACGCUUGCUACACUCCGGAGAGAAUUUUGAGGAUGAACCUUAUGUCUUGGCUUCUCAAGCGAGACUGGUAUAUUAUGUUAAACAACUUGGCGAGUCAGAGUGGGAUUUCGCAGUUCAUGUUCAACUUAGAGACGUAUAUGAUAUGGGUGAUGCAAUUCUAUGAGAAUAGUUUGGCUUUAAUAAGGAACACUUGAGUCUUUCUCUUUUCCUUGGAAGAUGACUUGACUUUAUUUAUUUGUUAUAAUAUAAUUUGAUGCUUAUGUAAACUA